CCGCCCCCGCCGCCGCCGCCGCCGGUCAACUGAUCCGACCAGCCGCUAUUCGAGGACACCAACUCGUCCGGCAGGUUCUCCUCCAGGAACAAGGAGAUGUCCGUGGUCACUAGGAGAUAUGAGAGAUGAGAUAAGCCGCGGCGCGUAGCAAGGAACGAAAUGGAAAUAGCCAUAGGUUGGCGGAACGGAGAAAACGGGGGAAGAAGUAACUGGAACGGUACGAGAAUUCUCCGUUUCUCUGCCGCUUGACGACGACAGCGACGAGUACUCUACUCGUUAGUUUGGGGCUGUGCCGCCUCCUCCCGUUGCCGCUGCCAUCAAAAUGAAAAUAAUAAAGUCUAUUUUGCCGCCAGGCCCCAAAACAAGUGCCGCCAAUAAAGUCUACAAUUUUUUUUUUUAAUUCAAAAAUUUCAACAAUUAUUAAAAAAUAUAUAUAAAAAAAAAUAAUUUCUAUAAAUUUUUAAAGAAAAAUAAAUGAAUAUU